GCCGCCGCUUUUCUUUUCUCACCAGCCCCAUACCCAACACCUAGGCGUAAUGAAUGCUCACUUCCAGUUGUAAAUAGUGAAGGUUGCUCUCUCUCAUCGAGGGGGGAGGGGGAUUCUCCAUUUUCAUCGUCCGUCAAGAGCUGGGCUAAAUAGUUCGAUCCAGAAGAGACCUCAACUGGCUGUAUCAACGCUUGGAUCUGCAGUUUUGGUUAGCAGGCGUGUACGCGAGCUUGGCGGAUGGAGGAAGAGGACGAAAACCAAGGGUGGGGAGGGGGAAGGCAUGAGCAAAUAGGGGUUACAGUUGAUGUUGUUGAGAGGUCAGGAGAUGAUGUGGAGGAUCAGACAGGGCUGACCUCGCGGCUGUCAGUUAAGCAUGUCGUCGAGGUCAUCACAAAAUUCGAUGAGUACAAAAGAUGGCUUGUGUCUGAGAUUGGUUUUGAGGGUAUGCUUAAACUCCCACUGUUGGGGAAGAUGGAUCUAAGGAUGAGUGCGUGGAUUAUGCGGAAGGUGAAGGUGAAGGUGCGUGCAAUAGUUGUUGAUGAACAUAGGGUGAUUCCUUUUGUGCCAGAGGAUUUUCACAAAGUAUUUGGCAUUCCGUGCAGCAACCGCGCUGUUCGUGGAAGGGAUGGCGAAAUAAAGAGUGCAGCAGUAGAGUUCAUGAAGCAGACAAUUGGGAUGGAUGCAUCUCCUGCUCAGAAUCUCAAGAUGGCAGAAGAUUUUCUUAGUAGGGAUAUAUCAGAUGAAUCAAGCAAGAUUGAGAAGGACUGUUUCCAGAUUUCAUUUGUUAUAUUUGUGAUGGGUUAUGUCUUGUCCCCGGGCACAAAGUAUGAGCACAUGACCAUUGAUUUUUGGGGGGCUCUCGCCAAUCCUGAGCUGAUUUCUCAAUUUAAUUGGUGCGAGUAUGCUGUUGAUAAUCUCAUGGCAGCUGUGAUGAAGUUGCAGAGGGAAUAUCACAACAAGGCGCAGGUGGUUCAUCUUUCUGGAUGCCAUUUGUUCUUCCAGAUUUUCUUGCUGGACAACAUUGAUCUUGGGAUUUUCAACAUGAUACACUCUGUAUUUCCGAGAAUUCAGAGUUUUGACUACAAAAUGCUUCGGCAGAUGAUUACGAUGGCGCGCUGCAAGCAGCGAGGGAGCAUAACAUACAUCCCUGGAGCAAUUCGCGCACCAGAUUCUGUAUGCUAUGUGCGUGUAAGUGUGACGAGCGCAAUGUGGACGGACGGUAUGUCACUUCCAUCUUCGUCCAAACAACCAUCAUCAAGGAUGUCUGUCACACCCAAAUGUCAGACAUCAAAGGUUUGUUUAGAUGCAAAGACAGGGGCAUUCAACUUUUUUGGGGAUCCUAUGUCUGCUAAUAGGUCAAUUGGCCCAAGUGAAUUCAGCAAGCAUCUUCGACAGAUUUCAAAAGAUGAUCCGGCCCUGCAGGAGCUGAGUCUCAUGUUGAAGCAGCACAAUGCCAAGUGCACGCUCACCGCGACAUUGUUGAGGAACCAACUGCAGUGUGAUAUGUUUUGCUUUGCGGAGAAAAUGGUCGAACUUGUGAAGGACCGCUGCAGGUGUUGUUCGAAUCAAGGAUUGUCCAAGUGUAUUAGUCUUCAGGAUACUGAUGUGGAUGGUAAUUCUAGUAGGCGAGUUUUCGAAGUAGGCCGUCGGCUUGAUAUGGGUUGUGACGAAGUGCAUGCAAAGUCAAAGGUUGACAAAGAUUAUCAAAGAAUGAAAAGGAUUUGUGUUGAACGAAACAAAAACAAAGCUGAAUCAGGGCAGGGCCAGUCGCGGACGGAAGAUGAUGUGCCUGUCUACAACAAUCCUGUGAUAGAGAGAAAACCAGAUGAUCGGGGGAAGAUGUUUGAAGACCGAAUUGUAGUCUAUGCACAGACUAUUGCUGAAAUGGUUCAAUCUCUAUAUGAUACAGAUACAAAGGAGGCAAAAUUUGUUUAUUUUCACUCAACUGAGUCUAAAUUACCCAGGCGUAGGUAUGUCAUGUCGGCAAGCUUUUACAAUGAUCCAUGGUCACGGGGAUGUGUCCCGCAACCUGCUUCAAUCCCGUUGAUAGACAAGUUCAAUGCAUGGAUCGGUGGUCAGAAAGACCUUGAUUUGAAUAGUGUUUGGUUGCUGCAUACAUCGCCAAGGCUCUUGAGGGUAAAUGUUGUAUGUAUUCAGCAGCAGAUACUUGGAUCAGAAGCUCUUGACCAUGAGGUUGCUACCCUUCUUUUGCGGCGUUUUUACCAAAUUGACACUGGGGAUGGAGGAGCAAGUACCUACAUGUUGUGGAGGGAAGUUCUUGGACCAGAUUUUUCGAUGCGGCCAUAUUUUACUACAUAUAAUUAUGUUGUUUUUAGGCUCAUACACUUUAGCAAUGUACAUUUGUAAUGUGAAACACUGAGUUUUUCCGCACAACAGACGCAUGCUCUUGCCGGGGGGAAAGUCUUGCAUGUGAAAGCUGUACAGGGGGUAUUUACACAUGCUAAUCAUGAUAUAACGGCGUGUAGGAUGUUUUUCGUACUGCUGUGUUGGAUCAAGGGUGGGCGGCGUAUAUGUGGGACAUGAUGAGGAAGGAUAUUCAUGUCCUCGACCCUAUGUGUCAGCAAGCUGUGGGUUUAGAGCAGCGUCACUUAAUGCAUGAAGUGGCAGUCUCACAAAUUCAUGCUGCGUUAUUUGGCUGCUUGAAUGAAUACUUUGCAAAAUGGCAUUGCGCUUCUCAAAGUUGGAAGCGGAUGUUCCCGAAGAUUACUGAUGACUUUUUCACAAGGGAUGAGUCUGGAAUAUGCAUGAUCCAUGCUAUUAGGAAUUAUAGUGGGGAGAAGAUGAUGUGUGCACUUACGAAGGAGGAGCAGUUGCUGGAAGGCAGCAUCCCAAGAUAUGCGUGAUGAGCGCAAGUGCAUGGUUGACGUAGGUUUGCAAAGAAAGUGUUUUCAGCAUCAGGAUGCUACAUUGUUCAUGGAAGUGCACACGCUGCAAUUCAUCUUCUUUGCUGCUGACAAUGGCUAUGUCCUGAAGAAAUCAUGAGUGCAAGGAUGACAGUCAGAACCACAGAAAGUCUGGUAACUCAUGACGGAAUAAAGUUUGUGGGUUUUCUCUGAGGGUGAUCCGUCGGCUGCACUCCACAAAACUUGCAAAUUGUCAGAUCAAUGAUUUUGUCUCAAGGUACGACAAUGGGGUAGGUAGUUGCUGAACAAACCUUCAGAUGUUGGAGGCAGCCGCGUGCUAGAAGAUGAAAAUAUGCUUCUGUUGAUCUUAUGUGCAAAACGGUCUAUGCUGCUAUCGUAGCUACCUGAUGCAACUGUACAUUUAUCACCAAGUUGGUCAGCAAUACUUCACUUUUAUGAUUUGUUUGGUACUACUAGAGUAUGAUGUACAUUUUUUUACGGAUUACCUGCUGCUAGGAGGUCCAUGCCUGAUGAGCUGCCACCCAGAGCGUAUGUUGGACUUGAAUCCCAUUUUGGCGCAGCGAGUGUGUUGGAAGUCCGAUAAUCUAUAAGGCAGGUACCAAAAUCAAGGAUGUUAUAAAUAGGCGACGACAUGUCUUUGAGGGUGUAGCAGAUAUCAAGCUGCUCUGCCCUACCUGAAUGUGUGAGGAUCAUUUCAUCAACAGUGUUGCUUGUCUUGUGUCCAUAACUUGACUCCAUGGAUGCCAUAUGCAUACCGAGAGCACCAGAGUACAAUGCAUUGUCACCUAGUCAUCCAACCGAAUUGGACAGUAAGGGCACAUUUUUAUGUAGGCGAGAUAACCGAUUUUGCUGUAUAGAUCAGCUAGCAGGAGACAUAUGAUAUGUGCCGUCACCCGAAGGUUGCUGUUUACUAUGGGUUUGGGUAGUAUGUUUUGCCCGUCGUUGGCUGUAUGCCUUGAGUUCCACAUGUUUCUCUUGGAGUUUGCUACAGUCUGUGCCUGCAAGCAGUGCAAAUAGGUUGAUCAACAAGUCAGGAAUGUUUAAACAUGGAUGGGAGGGUGUACUAUGUUUUUGAAAUAACAAGGAUGACCUGCUGCUGGAGUUAUAUUGCCUUGGAAAUUGGAGUUGGAAGAUGCGGAUGGUAUAGUUGGAGCUGUUGGUUCUUGUGGAGUAGCCAUUUGUUGCAUGACAUCUGAAAUACGUGCUGUUUUGUGUUUCUUGUAGUCCAGCUUUCUUGCCACAUCUGUUCGGGAUCGCUUACUUGACCAUCCAAUUGAUCCGCUUAUAGUAUCACUCUGGCUCUGGGAACGGAAAUGGAAAGGUGUACGGGGACAUUUGGGAGAUGGGAUCUGUACUGGAUCAGCUAUGUACAACAUUUUAGUUAGCACUUAAGUCUGUAGAAAAAUGUGAACUAGUGUAUACAGCGAGUUGAAGCUCGGAAUGCCAAAAGUACAUUUGGUACUACCUGGAUCGUUUUGGCCAUCUAGGUUGUUUGCAAUACUGAACUGAAGCUCACGACGUGUUGAGGUGCAGCUGCCAUCACUCAAAUUGAGUCGUCCAAUAACAGCUGGCAGUCCUGGUGCACGUAAACUUGGUUUUGGUGUUUUCUUUUUGUCCGGAUUUCCGUAGUCUGCAAAGAAAUUCAUAAUGUGGAAUGAUCAAGUCAAAUAGUUGUCAUGGAUGUUUCACAAUGAAAAUGAACCUGAAUUUUGCACAGCUCCAAGUGGAGAUUCUAGUUGCACGGUUGAUGUUGGAGGUAUCUGGAUGCGGAGAUCUGUUUAAAAUGGAGAGGGUGUCGCAGGUUAGCAACAUCAAUUAGCAUGGCAACUACUGAUUGCGAGGCAAGAGCAAUUAAGUGAACGUACUAGCGUUGUCAGUUGACGCAAAGCAGUUUGCUGUGGAUUGUACUGCCUUAUGUCCAAUGGAUACCUGUUUUUCAGGAGGUUCCUCCAAUAUAUUUCUUUUGUUGCUGCUAGUGUUCAGCUCCAUGCCUUUUGCAAGCCAGAUUUGGUAUGUUAGUACUGCGGACAAUGUAGUAAUAAAUAUAGAUAAUAUGUGCAAUGCGAUGCUGAAAGGAGAUACAACCUUGAGGAGGUGCAGGAGGAACCAUUUGCAGAGCUGUGUUCAAUGCACCAAAUGUCGGACGUCAGAUAAAUGUACCCACUGAUUAAGUACUAAUCGUGAGGCUUGGGUAACAGAUGAAACUCACGGGUGACAUGAAUUGCUGUGGAGCAACUUGGUAUGGAUUCUGCUUCUGUUCCUCUAUUGGAUAUAUGUUUUGGUGCAGCUUCUUCGAAUAUCUUCCUUUUCCUUGAACUAGUGUUUACCUCCAGUACUAUUUACAAGACAAAGUUCUCAGGUUAGAGGUGAUAAGAUUGCAAAAAGAAGUAGGAAUAAUAUCUUUAUUGUCAAAGCGAAGGGGAGAUAACAUUCACAAGUGGCAUGAGGAAUAAGGUUGGCUAUUUGUUUUGCCAUCCGAGCAGUCUUUGGGAACUUUGUCUGUGCUCGUUCAGCAAAUAGCAGCAUCGACAAGAACUCUGUGUACAGAGCCUUACAACCAUUGUCAACCUUGUCGGAAAUUUGAAGAACUAGUGCAACACAUCUCCGGUAGUGCUCAUUUGUCAAUCUUUGUUCAGGCGGACGGUGGUGGACGGCAAAAUUAAGUAUUGCAUCCCUGAUUCUGCACGCUACAAAUGUUUUGAUGAACUGAGAAGCAGCUGUUGUUGCCGCACCAAUUGAAAAGGCACGUUCCUGAUGGAGGAUUGGAUGCAGUUCCCACUUUGUUGCGGCAUAGGUGGCAAUGCUUUUUGUCUGUAUGAAUGUCAAUACAUUUAUAGUUCAUGUCCAGUGCGUAAACAAAGAGACACACGGCCAGGCAUUGUCCAUCAUGCAGUGUGCUUCAAAAUUGAUCCAAUCCACAAAGAGUAUCUAUUCAUGUGCACAAGGUAGCAACAACAUGACCAAUGAGUAAUCUCAUACGUAGGCAUUAGAGUGAAGGAUAAGAAAAUGAAUGCAUGCAGAUCUAGCACGUACUUGGGGCACAAGUUGGAAGGCUCCUACUACGGCGAUAUUGACCUGCUCAGCCUCAAGUUUUUGGGCCUUGUCCGCGCUUACCAUGAUUCCAUCAAGCAGAUACUGACCCCAGUUGUAUGUGUGAAUUUGAGAGGGAUCCAGUACACAUAGAAGGACUUCGUCAGGCACAUCUGCACUUGUGUAUCUAGGACAAAUCAUGGUGGCACACACUAGCAGAGUGUAGGCAACAUUUGCAAUGUCAAUCUCUUUCUCAUUAGUUGUUCUUGGAUCAAAACGGCCGAUGACACUCAUUAGUUGAUUAACUUGUAUUGUGCCUUUUACUGUCCGUGCUAGACCAUGCAUAUCCUGAACCUGCCACAACACAUCCAGCCUGUUGGAUGGGCUCAGGUGUGUUGGGACAGGCACAGGUCCAGACUGGAUGCCUGUAAUAUGCUCUACAUCCUGUACCGAGAUGGAUCUAACUUGUUUAUCAGGGAAUGUCAUGGUCUUCCGCUUUGAAUC